AGUGUGCCGAGUGGCGGCGUACCCGCGUGUUGAUUCUGUGCUUUCUCUAACGUUAUUUGUGGUGAAGGAGGACUAAGAGUGGCGAGGCUCUACCCUAAGGUUGCUAACAGCGGUCCAGCAUGUGUGGUAAAUGUAGCCGCGUGUUUUCGUCGUCUCGUAAGUAAAUCAUUAAAAGUUCCGUUCCCUCUUGCUGCAUCAUGUUACUUUCAUGUAUCGGCGGUUCAACGUGGGAGCGUUGUAAAAGGCACUGGUACAAGGCUUUCAUGCCCAGUUUUAGUGUGUACCGGGAGGAAUGGCUGCCACAGUACUGGAAAUAAUGUGCUUAAAAUGUGCUAUACAUCGUGUGUAUUGGUUUAGAUUUGUUUGACUCAGAUUGGAAUAUUGUCAAAGUCUAUCCUCACCGAUGUUUUUAAGCUGGUCUGUUAGAUGAAAAUAGGUAUCACGUAUGAAAGAAGGAUGGAUGUUACCGCAGUGCUGAGGUUGAUCACAGGAUAGAAAGCUUUUACUCUGCCGUAAGAGAAUGAAAAAUUACAGAGCUUACUUUAAACUGUGUGAAAGAAAGGGUUAUUCAGAAUUUAUGCGUUGCCGAAAGUCACACUGAAAUGGGUAACGCUGAGUGCACAAAAACAGCAAAAAGAAAAAAAAAAAAAAAAAAAGAAAAAAAAAGUGAUUGACACUGUCUUAAGUGUCUACGUUUGUGUGUGUGCGUGUGUGUGCGUGCGUACUUGCAUGCGUGUACAGGCACUUAGUGGACAGCAAAAGAUUGUCGGGGGCGUAUAUCCGUUUGAAACAAGAUAUACAGGGCAUUAACUCGGGCAGCAGUCACGCGAGGGGACGGUGAAGUGGCAGCAGCACCUGGGAAACGCUCAGGUGUUCCCACUAAGUUUGCUAGAAGUAUUGUGUGGACGUGGUCGUGGUCACUUUAAUACUGACACUUUCCUGUUAGUGGAGUGCAGUCUUUCUUGAACUGCCAGACACACUGAGAAUCCACUUGAGACACACACACACACACACACACACACACACACACACACACACACACACACACACACACACACACACACACACACACACACACACACACACACACACACACCUUGAUUACUUUGACAUAAGUUCCUCACACAGUCCCCCUCCACCCCCGUACCCUUGCACCCCAGCGGCUUUCAUCGCUUGUGAUGGGCAACCGUUUAGGAGGAAUGUCUUUGAUUAGCGGCGGCCUUAGGGAGGGGAGGGCGGAAGGCCGGGGACGGGGCAGGAGGAACGGGAGGGGCCACUCAAGAUGGUAUUGUGGAGAAGAAUGCUUUGAUAAGGAGGCGGUGACGGCUGCUUUAUUAUUAGUGAAUAGAAUGGGCGAGAGAGCCAGUGAAUGUACGGGAUGCAUUAUAAAAAAUCGUCCCUGUGCAGAAGAGAAGCGGAGAGUCCAAUUAGAGUGCGGGUCGUGGUAGCUCUGCUGGAGAAAAGAGGGACUCGAUUUAAGGGAGUGAAUUAUUUCCAGCCCUAAGCCUUCCACCGCUGCUAAAAAUACUCCCCCGAGCCACUUGUCGACCCCGGUCACGGUGGAACACUUGUUGUGGUGAGCCACGGCCCGCACGCGACUCCGCCACGCCAUUGCUACCACCACCACCACCACCACCACCACCACUACUACUACUACUACUACUACUACUACUACUACCAGCAUUACUACCACCACUACCACUGCUUUCACUGCCACCAGUAUAUCCACCACUUACUGCCAACGUCACUAUCACCCUCACCACGCCAGUGCUACCCCUGUCACCUUUAUUAACACUACUGCCACCACCACCACUACCAACAUUACUACCACUAGUAGAUCCGCGCCAUUACUACCAUCACUACUACCACAACUACCACUACCACUACCAUCAGUACAUCCACCACAGUCACUACGAACAUUGUUACCACUACGACCACUACCAACAUUGCUACCAUCAGUACACCCACCACUGUCACCACCACCAACAUUGCCACUAGCGCUAUCACCACCACUAUCGCUGGAGCCCACCAUCGCCAUCACCAUAAUCACCUAACCUAACCUAACCUAACGUAACCUAAUCUCAUCUUACAGUCACCACCACCACCACCACCACCACCACUGGCAUUAAUCAAAACAGCAGUGAUGCAUACAUAAUAAUACCGUCUCCUCCUCCUCCUCCUCUUCCGUCACCAGCGCCAGCAUUACCGCACAAUCUAAUCACCGUCAACAAGUGCUCGCCUCCAAUAAGUCAAACACAAAUCCCUUGAACUCUGGCGGCAUUGUUUUGACUCGCCCAUCUGUCCGAAUUGCGAGGAGGUGACGAGGGGGAGAGGGAGGGGCGAAGAUGAUGGAAGGAAGGAGAACGGAGAGGAAGGGAGAAAGGGAGAGAUGGAAGGAAGGAGACAGAUAAAUACAAGUGAAGGGAGAGAGGGACGAAGAAGAUUGAAGGAAGACGGAGAAGAGGAGGAAAUGACAAAUUUUGAUAGAUUAAGAAAUGAAAAGGGAAGGUUAAACUGAUAAGAAUGACGGGAGAAGAGAGAGAGAGAGAGAGAGAGUGUCAGCUGGCCCUGGAGGCGGUAUUGUGAUUGGAGAGCAGAUUAGGUAACAACGUGUCCCAGGAUUAGAUCUGUUUGAGUUUAGUCCCGGUGUUAUUGCUAGCGCAGAUGAGGCUGAGAGAGGGGAGGGAGAGAGGAAUAGGCAAGGGUUGAGGAGCGUGGAGCAUUACAGCCUGGGGAAAGGAGAGGAAAGGGGGAAAUUGAAGCCUUGGGGAGAGGGCAAGGGAAGGGUUCAAGAGGCCAAAGGGUAAAAUGAGGAAUUAGGGUCCGUCCGAGGAAUGAAAGGUAAGGAAGAGAGAGCUUAGGGAUGGUCAGGGAGUUUAGUGACGAUCUAAGCAAAAAUGGGGCAAUUUAGAUAGGGUGGAGGAGGAAGCUACCACCGAUUCUGGUCGAUAGGGAAGGCAGGGAGGCAGGGGACACUUGACAGCUUGCGUAAAGGGGGCCGAGGGAUGUGCUGGGGAGGGUUCCUAUGUUAGAGGGGACUGGGGUGUGAUUCAUGUUGGUAGUAGUGGCGGGAAUCCAAGGCGAAAUCGUGUUAGUGACGGUGAAAAUCUGUUUUUGACGGCUUGAUUCUGUUAGUGGCGAUUGGUUUUGGGUUACCGUAGAGGUGUUGGGUCGUGGCCGCGAUGGCGAUAGUGCUGACGGCGGCGGAGGCGGCGGCGGCAGCGGGGGCGAUGAUAGGGCGUGUGUUAGGCUUGUGAAGAAGGGUGAGUGUAGUAAGAGUUUGAGAUGAAGGUGAAUAAUAGUAAUAGUAAGUGUAGGGAUGACAAGAGUGUAUUGGUUUUGCUGAAGUGGCAUGACGGUGAAUAUUGAUGAUUGUUGUGAUGUGAAGAUGUGUGAAUGUUGAAUGCAGCAAGAAAGAUGGUGAAGGAGGAUCAUCAUAGUGUACGUGCUGGUGACAUGAUGUAUUGGUGAAUAUAUAGUGUACGUAGUGGUGACGGUGGUGUAUUGGUGAAGAUAAUGUAGGGGUGUGACCAAGAGUAAUGAUGAUUGUCGAGAGGUCUUUCGUUACUGACAGGAGUUUGCGCCUUAGACAAAUAUCUUCCAUUUUUUUCUUUU